CCUACGGGUGGCAGCAGUGAGGAAUAUUGGUCAAUGGCCGAAAGACUGAACCAGCCAAGUCGCGUGCAGGAUGACGGCCCUAUGGGUUGUAAACUGCUUUUAUCCGGGGAUAAAACGCGCCACGUGUGAUUUUUUGAAGGUACCGCAUGAAUAAGGAUCGGCUAACUCCGUGCCAGCAGCCGCGGUAAUACGGAAGGUUCGAGCGUUAUCCGGAUUUAUUGGGUUUAAAGGGAGCGGAGGCCGGAGGUUAAGGGUGCCGUGAAAUGUGGUGGCUCAACCCUGGCACUGCGGUGGAAACUGGAUUGCUUGAGUGCGCGGGAGGUAUGCGGAAUGCGUGGUGUAGCGGUGAAAUGCUUAGAUAUCACGAAGAACUCCGAUUGCGAAGGCAGCAUACGGGAGCGCUACUGACGCUGAUGCUCGAAGGCGUGGGUAUCGAACAGGAUUAGAUACCCGAGUAGUC
rnacentral:rRNA from 1 species